GAUGAACGCUGGCGGCGUGCCUAAUACAUGCAAGUCGAGCGAACAGAUGAGGAGCUUGCUCCUCUGACGUUAGCGGCGGACGGGUGAGUAACACGUGGAUAACCUACCUAUAAGACUGGGAUAACUUCGGGAAACCGGAGCUAAUACCGGAUAAUAUAUUGAACCGCAUGGUUCAAUAGUGAAAGACGGUUUUGCUGUCACUUAUAGAUGGAUCCGCGCCGCAUUAGCUAGUUGGUAAGGUAACGGCUUACCAAGGCAACGAUGCGUAGCCGACCUGAGAGGGUGAUCGGCCACACUGGAACUGAGACACGGUCCAGACUCCUACGGGAGGCAGCAGUAGGGAAUCUUCCGCCCUGGGCGCCUGCCUGCCGGAGCCCCGCCGCGUGAGUGAUGAAGGUCUUCGGAUCGUAAAACUCUGUUAUUAGGGAAGAACAAAUGUGUCAGUAACUAUGCCCGUCUUGACGGUACCUCCUCAGAAAGCCACGGCUCCCUCCGUG
rnacentral:rRNA from 1 species